GAGUUUGAUCCUGGCUCAGGAUGAACGCUGGCGGCGUGCUUAACACAUGCAAGUCGAGCGAAGCACCUUGACGGAUUUCUUCGGAAUGAAGUUUUGGUGACUGAGCGGCGGACGGGUGAGUAACGCGUGGGUAACCUGCCUCAUACAGGGGGAUAACAGUUAGAAAUGGCUGCUAAUACCGCAUAAGCGCACAGAGCUGCAUGGCUCAGUGUGAAAAACUCCGGUGGUAUGGGAUGGGCCCGCGUCUGAUUAGGCAGUUGGCGGGUAACGGCCCACCAAACCGACGAUCAGUAGCCGGCCUGAGAGGGCGACCGGCCACAUUGGGACUGAGACACGGCCCAAACUCCUACGGGAGGCAGCAGUGGGGAAUAUUGCACAAUGGGGGAAACCCUGAUGCAGCGACGCCGCGUGAGCGAAGAAGUAUUUCGGUAUGUAAAGCUCUAUCAGCAGGGAAGAUAAUGACGGUACCUGACUAAGAAGCCCCGGCUAACUACGUGCCAGCAGCCGCCGUAAC
rnacentral:rRNA from 1 species